CGCGUUUAAUUUUCGUUCGCCUUGGAUCUCUGCUGCUGGCUGCCGGCAGUUGUUAAUUAUUUUUGUGUUUUGUGAAAUUUGCAAAAAAGCUAGCCAAUUAUAAGACAAGUGAAAAGAAUACAAAACCUACACAGUGUGGUGGAACUUUAACAAAAAAACGCUAAAGAGACGCGUGAAGAGCCACAAAUAGAGAGUUCGAAAACGUGUUUCUGAACACACGAACAAAAAAAAGAAAGAAGAGUAUUGAGGCCCUCCGAAAAAGUGGUGUGUGGAGUGGACAUAGUGCAAAAUUAUGCCAAAUAGACGUGCAAACGACAAUAAAUUUCCCAUCAAAUUCGGAUUUUUAAGGGUUUGAGAACAACGAAACCUGAAAAUCCUUCAGUUUGUUGAAAAAUGUGGCGUUUGAAUUAAUUGUUAUAAAACAGCUGUUUAAGAAACCACCAUCUUUGUUUCGCCAGAAAAAGUCUUCUUCUUCUUCUCCCCAGGCCGUGUCGUCGUCGUCACCGUCGUCGCGCAAAAAUUGUAAUAAAAAGCAAAAAAGAAAAAUUGUGAAUGAUUGUGUGACGAGAGGGCAAAAACAACGUUACUAAGGAAAAAAAGAAAGAAGACACAGCAGAGAGAUAAUUUAAAAAGAAAUCAAACAACAAAAGUAGAAGAAGCAGUGGCCACAAUCGCAAGAGUUCAACAACAACAACAACAGCAGCAGCAGCAGUAGCAGCAUCUGCAAAAACCGUUGGACUAGCGAAAAUCAACAUAAUCAUUUUCGUCUCCGCACAUACAGCACCCAACUCACCUCAAGCCAAUACAAGCAAAUAGCAGCCAGCCACCCAGCCGACAUUAGCGCCGCAAGCAACAACAGCAACAACAAAACAAACCACAAAAAUGCUUUACGUGCAAAGUUAACUUUUUCCAUCUCCCCCCCAAAACCGCCCAACAAAAAACCAAGAAUUUUUGUUUUUGUUUUUCUCUCUUUUUUUUUUGUUAAAUUGAACUUUUUGCGAUUUCCUUCUAUUUACUUUAAACUUUUUCUCCCACAUUUUUGUAAUCACUUACUUUUACGUUUCCAUCGAUUCAUUCAUAAAACCGACUAAAACUUUUUUUUUUGUUUGUUCUUGGGCACAAAACAUCUCGUUUCUACAGUUUCUUAUUCUUGUGUUAUUUGCUAUUCUUGACCCCUUACAUACCUUCAAACUCUUGCAAGGAGUUUUUGUUUUGUGAUACAACCGUGGUGGGUCGAGACCGUCUGGCUGUGGUUCGUUCUGAGUAAAGCUGAGCAUUCAACCCAGUUGCUGGAACGUCAUUCGUUGGUUGGUUUGUGUCACAUCGCCAUCACCAUCAUCAUCAAAACAAUCAUCAGUUGCGCUGCGUCGUUUUGACAUUCGAGAUUAUUGGAGCCACCCCCACCCCGUCAUAUGCAGUCGUGGGCAGUUUAUUUCGUUUUUUAAGCGAGCCGAAAUAAUUUCAUCAACACUACUCUACUUGUUUUUCUACCCACAUACGUACAAUAACAACAAUAAAAUAAGCCUCCUUCUCCUGCUUGAGCUAAAGUAAAUAUAGCCAGACAACAGCAACAACAAAAACAACACCAGACAACUCACCCGCCGUCUUUGGAAAGAAGCACCUCCUAUCUAAGAAUUUACUCAGGCCUAUAAAGCAGAUAAAAACUCUUUCUUUUUUUUGUCUUUGUUCAAUUCAAACAACUUCCUUCAGCAACUGCGCAAAGUCAAUAAGCAAAGAUGGUGAAAGAAAAGCCAAAUUCCACACGCAUCUACGAUAAGGAUGGCUUUCGCAGACGUGCUGCCUGCAUAUGCGUACGUUCCGAGGCAGAAGCUGAGGUUCUGCUUGUGACUUCAUCAAGACGUCCCGAAUUGUGGAUAGUGCCAGGCGGUGGAGUAGAGCCAGAGGAAGAACCUUCGGUAACGGCUGUUAGAGAGGUAUUGGAGGAGGCCGGUGUUAUGGGCAAAUUAGGCAGAUGCUUAGGAGUUUUCGAGAAUCAAGAUCACAUGCAUCGCACGGAAGUUUUUGUUAUGACCGUUACCAAAGAACUGGAAGAAUGGGAAGAUUCACGUAGCAUUGGUCGCAAACGCCAAUGGUUUUCCAUCGAUGAUGCCCUGACCCAGUUGGCUUUGCAUAAACCCACACAACGACAUUAUCUGAUGCAGUUGCGACAUUCGAAAAACAAUUCAAAUUCAAAUUCAACAACAAAUUCACCCACUACAGCUGCACCAACCACAGCAUAAACGUGCAUACCUCAUUUAUUAUCCUCAGAAACAAAAAUCAAAUAUACACUACAUACACACACACACACACGCGCAGACAAAACACUAUCCCAAACACACAUUAUUUCUCUCUCCCCUCAUUCAAAAUAUAUGCAGAAUUUGUUUAAUUGAAAGAUUUCGAUUGCCACAUGAUAAUACCAAGUUACCAUUUUCUUUUGCCGCCAUUGAAAAUUACGCGAUAAAGGUGACUUCAAAUGGAAGAUCUUAAAAUUCAAUACCUACCAAUUAACGAAAAAUUUAUAUUAUAGGCAGACAGAAAAUUCCCUCCCAGAAUCCAGUCUCACAUUUCCUUGUCUUUGAUAACAGAAAAAAAAAUGAUCCUUACAACCUACACACACAAUUUUUGGAAGAAGAAAUUAUGAUAAAACAAAACAACUUUUUUAAAUAUUUAAAAACGAAUAAGAUGAAAAUAAUUUAUAAUAAAAAAAAAACAAAAACAAAAUCAAAACUUAAAACUAUUAUAAACAUUUUGCACUUCUUUUUUCUACGGCUACAUUUUUUUGUAUAAGUUUUAUUAAAAAUCCUCCCUACCCCCUCAAGAAAACAAAAACAACAAGGACAAAACAAACCAUACAAAAAAAAACUGUUAAAUAUAAAUUAUUAGCAUUAAACUAUAAGAAUAAUAAAACAAAUAUAUAUAUAUAUAUAGAAUUAAAUAAGAAGAAACACAAUUUUUAGUGAGACUAAAUUCAUUUGAAAAGGAUAUACAUAUAUACAUACCUAUAUACAACAAUUGAAAUAAACCAGCUCGCUCUUGCUUUGUAUGUAACGAAUGAACGAAAGACGGAAUUAUGUAUUGAAAACCAAAUUAAUUCAUGUUAAAUACACAUUACAAAACUCAUCUGGUCUUCAAGGAAA